CGCUCUAUACCCUUUGUGACAUACCUAUAACUGUUGCUUCGGCGGGUAGGGUCUCCGCGACCCUCCCGGCCUCCCGCCUCCGGGCGGGUCGGCGCCCGCCGGAGGAUAACCAAACUCUGAUUUAACGACGUUUCUUCUGAGUGGUACAAGCAAAUAAUCAAAACUUUUAACAACGGAUCUCUUGGUUCUGGCAUCGAUGAAGAACGCAGCGAAAUGCGAUAAGUAAUGUGAAUUGCAGAAUUCAGUGAAUCAUCGAAUCUUUGAACGCACAUUGCGCCCGCCAGCAUUCUGGCGGGCAUGCCUGUUCGAGCGUCAUUUCAACCCUCAAGCUCUGCUUGGUGUUGGGGCCCUACAGCUGAUGUAGGCCCUCAAAGGUAGUGGCGGACCCUCCCGGAGCCUCCUUUGCGUAGUAACUUUACGUCUCGCACUGGGAUCCGGAGGGACUCUUGCCGUAAAACCCCCCAAUUUUCCAAAGGUUGACCUCGGAUCAGGUAGGAAUACCCGCUGAACUUAAGCAUAUCAAUAAGCGAAGGAA
rnacentral:rRNA from 1 species